UGAGUAACGCGUGGAUAACCUGCCUCACACAGGGGGACAACAGUUGGAAACGACUGCUAAUACCGCAUAACACAAGUAAUUCGCAUGAAUAACUUGCCCAAAGAUUAUAUCCGGUGUGAGAUGGAUCCGCGUCUGAUUAGCCAGUUGGCGGGGUAACGGCCCACCAAAGCGACGAUCAGUAGCCGACCUGAGAGGGUGACCGGCCACAUUGGGACUGAGACACGGCCCAAAACUCCUACGGGAGGCAGCAGUGGGGAAUAUUGCACAAUGGGCGCAAGCCUGAUGCAGCGACGCCGCGUGAAGGAUGAAGUAUUUCGGUAUGUAAACUUCUAUCAGCAGGGAAGAAAAUGACGGUACCUGACUAAGAAGCCCCGGCUAACUACGUG
rnacentral:rRNA from 1 species